rnacentral:rRNA from 1 species
GACGAACGCUGGCGGCGCGCUUAACACAUGCAAGUCGAGCGAGAACCAGGGCUUCGGCCCUGGGGAAAGCGGCGAACGGGUGAGUAACACGUGAGUAACCUGUCCUCGGCACCGGGAUAGCCCGGGGAAACCCGGAUUAAUACCGGAUGGCCUUUCGAGUCCUCGGACUCGUCAGAAAAGGGAGCUUCGGCCUCCGGCCGAGGAGGGACUCGCGGCGGAUUAGCUUGUUGGUGAGGUAACGGCUCACCAAGGCGACGAUCCGUAGCUGGUCUGAGAGGACGAUCAGCCACACUGGGACUGAGACACGGCCCAGACUCCUACGGGAGGCAGCAGUGGGGAAUCUUGCGCAAUGGGCGAAAGCCUGACGCAGCGACGCCGCGUGCGGGAAGAAGGCCUCGG